rnacentral:rRNA from 1 species
UCCGGUGGUUAUAGCGAAGGGGCCACACCUGUUCCCAUAUCGAACACAGCAGUAAAGUCCUUCAGCGCCGAUGGUACUGCAUGGGAGACCGUGUGGGAGAGUAGGACACUGCCGGAU